GUUGUUGUUGCCGAGUGGUUAAGGCGAUGGACUAGAAAUGCAUUGGGGUUUCCCCGCGCAGGUUCAAAUUCUGCCAACAACG
rnacentral:tRNA from 1 species